AGCUCUGAGGUGUAUAACAUACUAGAUUGCAAAUCUAAAGUAGCAGGAUAACCCCUGCCGGGGCUU
rnacentral:tRNA from 1 species